rnacentral:rRNA from 1 species
CCUACGGGCGGCAGCAGUGAGGAAUAUUGGUCAAUGGACGAGAGUCUGAACCAGCCAAGUAGCGUGAAGGAUGACUGCCCUAUGGGUUGUAAACUUCUUUUAUAUGGGAAUAAAAUGUUCCACGUGUGGGAUUUUGUAUGUACCAUAUGAAUAAGGAUCGGCUAACUCCGUGCCAGCAGCCGCGGUAAUACGGAGGAUCCGAGCGUUAUCCGGAUUUAUUGGGUUUAAAGGGAGCGUAGGUGGAUUGUUAAGUCAGUUGUGAAAGUUUGCGGCUCAACCGUAAAAUUGCAGUUGAAACUGGCAGUCUUGAGUACAGUAGAGGUGGGCGGAAUUCGUGGUGUAGCGGUGAAAUGCUUAGAUAUCACGAAGAACUCCGAUGGCGAAGGCAGUUCACUGGACUGCAACUGACACUGAGGCUCGAAAGUGUGGGUAUCAAACAGGAUUAGAUACCCCUGUAGUC